AUGGCUAAGCUACUCAGUCAUCCACUGUUUUAUCCCAUCCUCUUUCUCUUCCUCUUUAUCUUUCUUGCAUCAACCGGUAUGCCGUAAUCAUCUUAUUCCAAAAAAAUUAUCCGUGCAUAUAUUAUUCCUUUCUUUCGUCAACUCGUGUCUGUUUUGGGGUGUGGGUGUGAUUUGAUUCAUGCUCAAAUUCUUACAAUGUUAGCAUUUGUUUAUGACUCGUGAGAUGCAGAAGUAGCAAUGGUGGAAGCAAGAAUCUGUCAAAGGCGUAGUAAAACAUGGUCAGGGUUUUGUGGGAACACUGGAAACUGCAACCGUCAAUGCAGGAACUGGGAAGGUGCUUUGCGUGGAGCUUGCCACGCUCAAUCCCCAGGGUUUGCAUGCUUCUGCUACUUUAGAUGUUGA
rnacentral:lncRNA from 1 species